CAAGAAGAAGAGGAGAACUGGGAUCAUUUUAAUGAGCCCAGCUACCUCGACUUCCUGAGGAGUAAAAAGAAUCAUAAUGCCUUAAAUUAAAGAAGGCCGGGGUUCUUUCGUUAAAAUAGUGUAGAAUAAGUUUAGCUAAGUAGUAGUAGUAGUUGUAGUAAAAUGUAAAUAUUAUUGUAUAAAAAAAAUAAAAGUUGUAAAAAAAAGCUACAUGUUUUUAUGUACACCUAUUUCAACCUACUGAUACAAGUAAGUGUGACCAGCAAGCAGAGUCGCUCCCUGUUUCAAGACCACUCAUUCCCUCUUUAUCUUUGAUGUUUUCAUCUCACUUUUUCUCAUUAUUUCACUUUUUCAAGGCCACAAUAUUGGUGCAUUUUCAUUCAAGGUUAAAAAGUGGGGGUAUAGUUAAUAUAUAGAAUUUAGUACAAGUUUGAUAGCAGUCAGUACUGAUUUAAUCCUCCGAGAAAUAAGAAUAUAAAAAAGUGCAUAUAUCUGUGUUAAUGUCUAAGAGUAUUCGCUGCUGGGUCAUGGAUGUAUUGAAUCGAAUCGCUCGAUGCGGACAGAAGCCCAUUUUAAAAGCUGGUGAGCUAGAGUUGAACACAAGAUUCCGCAUACAUAAUAUUAGACGCACAAAGUCUCUGUUCGGAAAUUCAGUGCUUGUUGAGUUGGACAAUUAUGCAGUGUUUCUGCCGAGAAGAAUAAGUGAUUAUUUGACUGAGGAGAAAAUUGAUGAGUUAUUACGAGAUCCACGUCCACUAUAUUUAAUAUAUUUGGGAAAAGAAGAUGCUAGAAACCCGACAUCUGCACAUUGUUUUGAGUUUCAACGUGUGGAUGAUGAAAUAUUAGUUAACGAGGGUGCCGAAGAGUAGGAUGAAAUUAUCGGAAAAAGACUUAUGUGUGUGAAGUAGUGUGCGUUUUGUGCUAGUGAUAGUUUCUUAAAAUAAAUAAAUAAAUAAAAAAUCAUGUGUCUAGACGAUGGACAAUAUGAAAAAAGUUUAUACGAGUGUUUUGAUAAAAGACUGUUAUCAUAUAAGAACUGGGUACAUUCAUACCCAUCUCCAUGGAGUUUAGCAAAGCGGGAUUGUUUUAUAUUCAAAUAUCUGAUUGUACCCAGUGUUUUGUUUGUGGAGUAAUAAUUUCACGAUGGGAAAAAAGUGAUGAUGCGUUUAUGGAGCAUAAAAAACAUUCUCCAAAAUGUGGAUAUGUGAAAUUGCUUUCCACAGACAAAACUACAAUUCAAAAAUUCAAAUUAGUUACUAAAAAUAGCAUUGUUGUAGUUUUAUUUUUUUUUAUAUUUGUAUUCAUGUAUUAUUUAUGUGCGUCUUCUUAUGCAUAGGUAUGCAGACUUGUUAACCUUGAUCAGUGUCGGGGCGCGCGCCAAAGGCGAGGUAAAAAUCAAGAGGCGUCUUGAUUUAAUUAGUUUAUAAUUAAAUAAGUGGUAGAAUAAUAUGGAGGAUUUAUAAUAGAUUUAAGGAUAUUUAAUGUACUACCUAUAAUAUUGAUGAAAUAAAGUGUUUUAAUCGA